GAUCUCUAUUACUGUUCGUCGACCUCUCAAGAUGUCUGAGAUCAUAAGCUCAAGAAAGGAAUUUGAACGACGCCCGAAUGAAACUGUUGUCACCUGGUUGCUUCGUUGUUGGGAUAGUGGGGCCAGUAGCUUGUCUCUAGAUGGUAAUGAAGCACGCCAAUUAGGAGACAUUGCCGGAGACAAAUCCAUCGACAGAGCAAUUAGUAGAUGUUUGGAUGAAGCUGCAACCCUCUGGGACCGAAUACUAAUAGCUGUGAAGGAAAGGUAUCCAGUAUUUGAGGGAAAUAGCCCUGGUGGAAAUGCUAUAUGAGUCUAAUUUUGUUCCUAAUGAUCCACGCCAAAACCAUGAUCCGGAGAGAGUGAGGACAACACCUGAAAUAUGGCAAAAACUUACGAGAGCAGCACCAGACAGAUACGCCCCCACACUAUUAGCCACAUUCCACAGAUACGAGGACCAACAGAGAAGACCCCUAGUCUUCGAAUUGAUUCUUACACUCCAAAACUAUGAGCAGCAUCUACCCCCAACCCACGUUUCCAUUUCAGCCGUCACAGAGUUAGCAAACAGACUGGGUGAUGUAGAAGAGCAGAUGUCCCUAUUGAUUAAUCGUGAUGAACCCGUAGAACCCGUAAUAGUAUCGGAAACGUUUGACGACGAUCAAGAUAAGCAAAGGGGCCUAAUGAAAGAGCUUAUCAAACUAAUGAAAAUCCAAUUAAUUAAAGAAGAUGGAUCCCCCUCCUCACCUGUAACAUCAAAAAUUUCAGCUACCGAAGGCAAACGCUUUCCUGCUCGAGUGAGAAACAACAACAGGACGGCUUCGCGUGUUGCCUUGUGGCGUUAUCUCCGUGACCAUGGAGAAGAUAUGAGGAAGUGGCACGAUCAAGAUACUCCCGUACUGCGAGCACGGGUGAGAGAAUUACAGAAUAGACCAACCACCAGUGUAGUUGCUCCAGUUACCACAGGUAAUGAAUAGAGGGGCCCUGCCCUCAGUCAGGGGAGGGAGAGGGAUAACAGAGUUUAUUGGACUGUGUGGAUCCGAUGGCCUGGCACAUCAGAACCACAGAAAUAUAAGGCAU
rnacentral:lncRNA from 1 species